GGGGAUGUAGCUCAGUUGGUAGAGCGUCUGUUUCGCUAACAGAAGGCCAGGGGUUCGAUUCCGCUCAUCUCCA
rnacentral:tRNA from 1 species